AGACAGCAGUAGCCGCGGUAAUACGUAGGGUGCGAGCGUUAAUCGGAAUUACUGGGCGUAAAGCGUGCGCAGGCGGUUAUAUAAGACAGAUGUGAAAUCCCCGGGCUCAACCUGGGACCUGCAUUUGUGACUGUAUAGCUAGAGUACGGUAGAGUGGGAUGGAAUUCCGCGUGUAGCAGUGAAAUGCGUAGAUAUGCGGAGGAACACCGAUGGCGAAGGCAAUCCCCUGGACCUGUACUGACGCUCAUGCACGAAAGCGUGGGGAGCAAACAGGAUUAGAUACCCGAGUAGUCCCUGUCUCUUAUAC
rnacentral:rRNA from 1 species